UCUGUUCUUUAAUUGUACGCGCAACACUAUUUCACUUUGGAAGGAGUGAACAUAUCCUCACCUGUGUAAUUGAACUACGAGGUUGGCCAUUCCAGAUAGGCAGCGUUGGGACUAAGCAAUACAAGUUAGAGGCCUGAGGAUAGCUAUCGAGACCUGAGCGCCCAGAUCCGUCCCGCCGCCGGGAGCCGGUGGACCUGAGCGCCCGAUCUGCUCCGCCGACGAGAGGAGGCUACACGCCGGUGGCGGCGGCGGGCGAGUCGCGGCCGGAGCGCCAGCUGGCGCGGUCGCGGCGGUGAUCAUGUGCUCGCCCGGCAUUGGGGAGGGCGUCUCGGCGCGUCAGGCGCCUCACGCUGGCUCCCGGCUGGUCACCGGGGCUGAAGGUGGGGGCUCACGUCGACGAGGUAAGUUCGGUGUCCAAUUUGGAGGAUGAAGACCGUGAGGAUGAUACAGCAGGUGUCUUCUCAGUGGAUUCAUCGUCGGUGGCUGCCUUGACGGAGGGACCUAGGGGUCGUUUCUGGGUCCUUCAAGCUGAGGGAGAAUCUGACGAUGACUCCAAUAUUGAGCGGGAUGUUGUCGGUGCGGAGAGGCAGAUGAAUUCGGUCUCUCCCAUGGCCAACAAUAAUCACAGCAGGGAUGUAGGUACUGCGUUCUCGAGCACGGGCUCGCAUUCUCCGGGAGUGCUAUCGUUGGAGGUGAUGCACAACGGUGAGAUGCGGGGGUCGUCGUGCGGCAGAUCGGUGAGUCGCCAAAAUAUGCUUGAGGAGGAAGCAGGUUGCCGUCCAUCUCGUGCUUCGGUUAGCUUGAAUGGGAGUCGUCGGGCGAGAGCAUGGCCUACCAUGGCUUGCCCUCUGACCACUCCUUCUCCCACCGACCCGAGGAGGAAGACAAACAGUGUGGGGGGUCCACAUGUCAGCGGACUAAAGUACCCCGAAGAAGAAGGUAGACAGUCGCAGAGCGUAACAGAGCGCCAGCCUAUGGGCCUGGGCAGUAAUUACGGAUUAGAGCCUCAGCAGAAGUUCAAUCGUUACAGGCCCUACAAGCCGCCUAAUGGUCUUGUGGCCUUUUUCGAAAAGUCUUUCUCGCUGUUCUCACUCCGUAGAGCUCCUAGUACCAGUACUCGCCGCUUAGGAUUCCCAUCCUACGCUGCAGCAGUCAAGGCUAGGCCACCGGGGACGAUGGAGAAGCAGAACCCGCAGCCGCCGGCUCAAGGAGGCAAGAUGGGGGACGCUGGCUCAGGGCGCCCGAUGGCGAGAGGCAAGUUCCAGUAUGAUGGUCCUCACCAUUUUCGUCCUGGGCAUGCCGGUCCACAGUACAACAACCGCGGCCGAUCCUGGGCGAGACCGGGAUACGGGCGGGGGUACCGCGGCUUGCAGAGAGGUUGGGGGGAGUCCAGACCACAUCAAGAAGGUGGUGCCCUGGGCGCUGCUAGGCAGACUACUACAGCCACCAAUGCUAACGUGGUGGUACCAUCCGCUGGACCUGCAAUCGCACAGGAUCAACCGGCCAAGGCUGAGGCAAUUUUGCAGCAGGCUUUAGCGGCGAUCCAGGAAUUAAAGGCGGACAAGGGUGGUAGCAGUGGAUCGGCACAGGGUACUGAGGGCCUCAAGGGGCCGCAGGACCAAGUGGAGAGCGCAGCCCGGGAAGGUGAGAUGAAAAACAAGGACGUCGUUCAGGAGGAAGGUAUGAAAAUUCAGAGCAAGGCACACUGUCAUAGAUGUUACGCAAAGGGCCAUGUGAUGAACGACUGUGUGGCGAAGUUGUAUUGUGAAGUGUGUGACGUCGAUUCACACAUCAAGCAACGGUGCCCUGUUUUCAAUGCGCCAAAAGUGCAUGCUGUCCCGGCUGGUUUUGCGAUCAGCAAGGGUGGGUUUUUUCACAUCCCUACCAAUAAGAAAUUGGUCAAACAGAAGGGGGACUCGAAAGCUGCUUUGAUCCUUGUCUCUGAUGGUGCAUUAUCUCUGGACAAUGUGGUAUGUGAACUUAAGAGGCUCCUUCCGCACCUAGCACCGUGGAAAGUGGAUCAAAUUGAUCAAGGAACCUUCAAAACCAUAUUUCAGUCCUCCUCGGAAUUGAAUAGAAUGGUUGAAUGGGGUCCGGUCAGGGCUAAAACGCAGAAGGCGACUCUUGAGUUUAAGGUAUGCUCAUCUGGAGGUCGUGUCAAAGCUAAGCUGGUUGAUACUUGGAUUCAGUUUAAUGGGUUGCCGGUUGAAUUUUGCACGGUGCCUCACAUCUGGGGUGUUGGCUCGACCCUGGGGGUUGCAUCCGAUGUUGAUAUGGCGUUUUACAGACAGCAUGGCAUAUGUAGGAUGCAGGUCAGUGUGAUCGAUCCACAGGCAAUUCCCUGUGCGGUGGAUGUCGAAAUAGCCAAGGUCAUCUACGAGGUACACUUGUGGGUGGAAAAUGGCGCAGGGACAGCGGUCCCAAUGGCGGUUGAUGAUGAUUCUUUCUUUGAAGAUGAUGCUGAUAGUAAAAGUGAGGAUAAAGGUCCUGAUAGGAACAACAAAGAUGGUAUCAACAGGGAGGAAAAUGCUAGUGAUCAGACCCUUAACAAGCUGGCCGGUGGGGAUAAUACCGGGCACAAAUCAGUUACUCUCGGGGAAGUCACUACCUCUGCUGGUCAGCCGAUAUAUGGGAUGUUAGCUGAUGGUUCUUUGGGAUUCGGUCAGGAGCUUCCUGCAGAUCCGUUGGUGUCCAGCAUGGACGGGAAUGCUGUUGAUGAUGAGAAGCUUUUGAUGAGAGAUGCUGUCGGGAAGGCUAAGCAAUCUGCGGUGGCUGCUGCUGUCACCGAUCUGGCUGGGGCUGUUAUAGCUGAUCAUGUGCCAAUGGAUAGUCCAGAGUUGAUGCAAUCGCCUGAUGAUAACUGUGAGAAAUUGAAGCAGCUGGCUGCUAUUCCAGAAGCUUCACAAUCUGUCGCAGCUGGUCGCAAGCGAAGGACGAGCAUCAUGGAUGAAAACUCCUUGGCCCGUGCUGAAAGGCUGAAGGCUGAACGUAAUGGAGGUAACAGCCCAUCUCCCUCCUCUAUUUCAUGUAAUAAAGUUUUGCAAAUUCCUUUGAACUUGGCUAUUUCGAAUCUUGACGCGAUUGGUAUCUCUCUAGGUGUAGAGGAAUCCCAUUUAGCUAAGUCAAUCCAGGUUCUUAAUAGCUAUGAUAAAGGUAUGGUGAGUCAGGUGGGUCGGGAUGGCGUGGUAGAAGGGACUGUUUAUGACAUAGUGGAUGAGGAGUCAGAUGAGGAAUUAGACAGACUUACUCUUAAUAAUCUUUGUGGGGGUAUCAUGGAUGACUUAAUGGAUAACGGAGUUGACAACAAGGCGGUUGGUCAAAUUCCACUGGAUCCAGGUAGUGAUACACAUAGGAAGAAAGUUAGAUCGAAAAAAAAGUAAGAAGAAAUUAUCGUGCAAAAACAAAAGUUAAAAUGAAAGGGGUGUUUUGGAAUUGUGAUGGUUUUGGAGACCCUAAGAAGCAUCGUUUUGUUGCGGAUUUAACUAAGGAGUUUAAUCUUAGUUUUAUUGCGCUGUCUGAAACUGUUAAAAAGGAGUUCUCGACCUCUUUCCUCAAAAAUCUGUGUGCAGGGAAGGACUUUCUAUGGCAUUGUAAAGAACCUAGAGGUCGGUCGGGAGGUAUUCUUAUGGGGAUCGAACUCUCGGUUUUUGACAUAGGUGCCAUAGAUGAAGGAGAUUUCCAUGUCCGUUUCUUGUUAAAAAAUAAACAUGAUGGGUUUAAGUGGUCUUUGGUCUGCGUUUAUGGCCCCGCCCAAGACCACCUUAAGGAACAGUUUUUAGCGGAACUUGUGAACAUGGUUAGUAAAAUCACUGAACCUGUCAUGGUUGGAGGGGAUUUCAACUUGCUGCGCAAUGCGUCCGAGAAGAACAAUGACAAUUACAAUCCGAGGUGGCCUUUUCUCUUUAAUGCCGUAAUUGACGGACUUUGCCUAAGGGAGUUGGCUCUCUCGGGUAGACAAUAUACUUGGGCUAAUGCGAGAGCGGUUCCCACUUACGAAAAAUUAGAUAGGGUACUGGUUUCCACUGAGUGGGAAUUACGGUAUCCCCGAUCUAACGUAGUGGCCCACUCUAGGGAUGUGUCCGAUCACACACCUCUAAUCCUAAGCACUGGCAUUGACACUUCAACCUACUCCCCUCCCAGUUUCAAAUUAGAGUUGGGUUGGUUCUUAAGGGAGGGUUUUAGGGAGAAGGUGUCAAGUCUGUGGUGUAGGGAUAAUGGUGGGGUAUCGGCCAUGGAAAAAUGGCAAAACAAGAUAAGGAAGGUUAGGCAAUUUCUAAGGGGUUGGGCAAAAAAUGUCAGUGGUACAAAUAAAAAGGAAAAAAAACGUAUUAUCCAAGACCUUGACAUUCUUGAUAAGAAAGCAGAAAGUUGCCUUCUUACUACUGAAGAAUUAGAUUGGCGGAAUUUUAUGCGUAACAGGCUGGCGGCCCUCCUCAGAGAAGAAGAAUUAAAAUGGUAUCAAAGAGCGAAAACGAAAGGUUUGUUGGAGGGUGAUGCAAACACCAAGUUUUUCCAUUUAGUGGCAAAUGGAAAACAUAGGAAAACAAGGAUCUUCAAAUUACAUGACGGGGAUAAGGAAAUUUCGGGUGAUGUUGCGCUUAAGCAGCAUAUUACCUCAUAUUAUAAAUCCUUGUUUGGCAGUUCCGAAGAUCCAACGAUCACUUUGGACAGUUCCAGAGUAGAAGACAUUCCUCAAAUCUCCUCGGAGGAAAACGACUUGCUGACGGCAGAAUUUACUAUGGAGGAGGUUAAGGCGGCUAUCUUCCAAAUGGAACAAAACAAGGCGCCUGGGCCGGAUGGGUUUCCGGCUGAAUUUUAUCAAUUUUUUUGGGAAGAAAUUAAGGACGAUUUGAUGGCUUUAUUCAGAGAAUUUGGUCUAGGUUGCCUUCCGAUGCAUAGCUUGAAUUUUGGCACGAUUAUUCUGUUGCCAAAGUCAAAUGAUGCGUCCCGGAUAGAGCAAUAUAGACCAAUUUGUCUGCUGAAUGUUAGCUUUAAAAUUUUUACCAAGACGGUUAUGAAUAGGCUAAUGACAGUGGCCCACAAGGUUAUUAGCCCUACCCAGACUGCUUUUCUUCCCGGUCGUAAUAUCAUGGAAGGUGUUGUGAUUCUUCAUGAGACCUUACACGAAUUACAUCGUAAGAAGCAAAAUGGGGUAGUGUUUAAGAUUGAUUUUGAGAAAGCCUAUGACAAAGUACGGUGGUCUUUUGUUAGACAAACUUUGCUGAUGAAAGGUUUCUCGAACAAGUGGUGUGAUUGGAUUGAGGCCUUCACCCAAAGAGGUCACGUGAACAUAAAGAUUAAUGACCAGCUCACAAAUAACUUUCAAACAAAGAAAGGUCUAAGACAAGGUGAUCCGUUAUCUCCAGUCCUGUUUAAUGUCAUUGUUGACAUGCUGGUUACUCUUAUCAACCGUGCCAAGAGAGAGGGGCAUAUUGAGGGAGUUAUCCCUCACCUGCUGGACGGUGGUCUUUCCAUCCUCCAAUACGCAGACGAUACAAUACUCUUUAUGGAUCAUGAUCUUGACAAAGCUCGAAAUCUCAAACUCAUUUUAUGUGCGUUUGAGCAACUGUCCGGUCUCAAGAUAAACUUUCAUAAGAGCGAGAUCUUCUGUUUCGGGGAUGCCAAAGAACAUGAGCAGGCCUAUUCAGACCUUUUCGGUUGUAAAGCGGGGGCGUACCCCUUUAGAUAUUUGGGGAUUCCUAUGCACUUCAGAAAACUUAGGAAUGCAGAGUGGAAUAGUGUUAUAGAGAGAAUAGAAAAGAAACUGAGUAGCUGGAAAGGAAAGCAUCUCUCGGUGGGAGGACGCUUAGUCCUUAUUAACUCGGUUCUUUCUAGUCUCCCGGUAUACAUGUUAUCUUUCUUUGAAAUACCCCGUAAGGUUCUGGAAAAGAUUGACUUUCUUAGAUCUCGUUUUUACUGGCAAUCAGAGGAUGAAAAGAAAAAAUAUAGGUUGGCAAAGUGGGGCGUCCUCUGCCAACCAAAAGAGGUAGGUGGGAUCGGGAUUAAGAAUAUUGAUUCCCAGAAUAAGUGUUUGUUAGUUAAGUGGUUGUUCAAGCUAGCCAACGAAGAGGGAAUGUGGCAACAGAUCUUAAAGAGAAAAUACUUUCGUAACAAGACUAUUGGAGAGGUGCAGGUGAAACCUGGAGACUCUCAUUUUUGGUCGGGUCUUAUGAAAAUAAAAGAGCUUUUUCUCUCACAUGGGCGGUUUGUGACCAAUAGAGGGAUAAACGUUAGAUUCUGGGAAGAUAAGUGGCUAGGGGAUUUUUCACUAGAGCACAGAUUUCCUUCCCUUUACUACAUUACUAGGCGAAAGCAUGCUACAGUGGCCAAUGUUCUCAGCUCUACUCCCCUUAAUGUCUCUUUUCGUAGAGGUCUACAAGGUGAUACGUUGAGGCAGUGGAACUCACUAGUGGCCUUGAUACUUGAUGUGUCCCUCAACCCUGCGAAAGAUCACUUCCGUUGGGGUCUGACCCAGAACGGAGAGUACACAGUGCAAUCGCUAUACUAUAUAAUGAUUUGUAGUGGACAUGGCCGGCAGGACCAGACAAUUUGGAAGAUGAAAAUACCGUUGAAAAUUAAGAUUUUCGCGUGGUAUUUGAGAAGGGGUGUUACUCUCACGAGAGACAACUUGGCUAAGCGUAAUUGGAACGGUCCUAAAAAUUGUGUUUUCUGUUAUUACAAUGAAUCCAUACAACAUCUGUUCUUUGAGUGUCACUUUGCCAAAUUCAUGUGGCGGGCGGUGAGUCUAACCUUUGGGUUAAGGACACCAUGUAGCGUUUAUGAUCUUUUUAAUCUUUGGGCCCGGGGAUUCUCCCCCAAGGAUAGACUAAAGAUUCUAGUAGGGGCUAUAGCCAUAUGCUGGGCAAUUUGGCUAAGUAGGAAUGAUGUGGUUUUUAAUAAAAGUCCGAUCAAAACUUACAUGCAGGUACUUUACAGAGGAACCUACUGGUGUCGUUUCUGGGCGCAACUUCAAAGGCAUGAGGAAGACGCCAAGGUUAUCAGGGAGGCCUGCAGGAAGCUUGAGACGACAGUGAUGCAGAUCUUCGCUUUUCACGGGUGGCAGUUUAGUAAUAGGAUCGCUCUGUGAGAGUUGUUUUUACUUUUGCUGUCCACCCAACUGCGUUUGGGGUUUGUAUCGCCGCUUGUGGCUCUUUGAGUUGGAUCUGUUGGUGUGGUGUUGUCAUGACAGGCCGUCAUCCUCGUGAUGUAGGCUGGGAACACUCUAUCCCAUUAUCUAAAAAAAUCAAUAGUAAUAUAUACAAAUGUCGACAAAGUUUCCUAACUUCUAACUAUAUUCUCGUUUCUACGUUCUUAAUAUGAAUCUUCAUC
rnacentral:lncRNA from 1 species